rnacentral:rRNA from 1 species
UACGAAGGGGGCUAGCGUUGCUCGGAAUUACUGGGCGUAAAGCGCACGUAGGCGGAUUGUUAAGUCGGGGGUGAAAUCCUGGAGCUCAACUCCAGAACUGCCUUCGAUACUGGCGAUCUCGAGUUCGGGAGAGGUGAGUGGAACUGCGAGUGUAGAGGUGAAAUUCGUAGAUAUUCGCAAGAACACCAGUGGCGAAGGCGGCUCACUGGCCCGAUACUGACGCUGAGGCGCGAAAGUGUGGGGAUCAAACAGG